UACAGAGGGUGCGAGCGUUAAUCGGAAUUACUGGGCGUAAAGCGCACGUAGUCGGCUUUGCAAGUCGGGUGUGAAAUCCCCGGGCUCAACCUGGGAACUGCAUCCGAGACUGCAUUGCUGAGAGUAUGGGAGAGGGAAGCGGAAUUUCUGGUGUAGCAGUGAAAUGCGUAGAUAUCAGAAGGAACAUCAGUGGCGAAGGCGGCUUCCUGGACCAAUACUGACGAUCAGGUGCGAAAGCGUGGGGAGCAAACAGGG
rnacentral:rRNA from 1 species